AGAGAGAGACAUGCGCGCAUAUCAAUAAGCGGAGGAAAAGAAACUAACAAGGAUUCCCUUAGUAACGGCGAGUGAAGCGGGAAGAGCUCAAAUUUGAAAUCUUCAAGGUUUUACCUUGACGAAUUGUAGUUUAAAGAAGUGUCUUCUGCUGAAGUUUUGGUAAAAGUUCUUUGGAAUAGGACAUCAUAGAGGGUGAGAAUCCCGUAUUUGACCAUUAUUUUCAGCUUUGUGAUACACUUUCAAAGAGUCGGAUUGUUUGGGAAUGCAGUCCAAAAUGGGUGGUAAAUUUCAUCUAAAGCUAAAUAUUGGCGAGAGACCGAUAGCGAACAAGUACCGUGAGGGAAAGAUGAAAAGAACUUUGAAAAGAGAGUUAAACAGUACGUGAAAUUGUCAAAAGGGAAGCGUUUGACACCAGUGUUGUUUUCUCGAAAAUCAAUUAAAAAUGGCUCGAUUUUGUAUUGCUUGAGACCUUAAAAGCUCACUGUACAUUUUUCGUGUCUUAUUUAAUGCACUUUUCGUUUAACAAGUCAACAUCAGUUUCUUUUGUUGUAAAAGGGUCAUUGGAAGGUGGCUUUCUUUUCGGAGAAAGUGUUUAUAGCCUUUGGCCUCUGCAAUCGAAGAGACUGAGGUCUGCAGCGUAGACUCUUCGGGGUUAGAUACAUUUGUGCUAAGUUAUAGCUUUUUAUAGACAACUUGUUGACUAUAAUUAGUCUUGUAGCUUACUCGCUUAUGCUAUUUUACCUACGCUUAGGAUGUUGAAGUCAUCGUAUCGCGC
rnacentral:rRNA from 1 species